rnacentral:rRNA from 1 species
UACGGAGGGUGCAAGCGUUGUUCGGAAUUAUUGGGCGUAAAGAGCGUGUAGGCGGUUCGGUAAGUCAGAUGUGAAAGCCCUGGGCUCAACCCAGGAAGUGCAUUUGAAACUACCAGACUUGAGUACGGGAGAGGAGGGGGGAAUUCCCGGUGUAGAGGUGAAAUUCGUAGAUAUCGGGAGGAAUACCGGUGGCGAAGGCGCCCCUCUGGACCGAUACUGACGCUGAGACGCGAAAGCGUGGGGAGCAAACAGG